rnacentral:rRNA from 1 species
UACGUAGGGGGCUAGCGUUGUCCGGAAUCAUUGGGCGUAAAGCGCGUGUAGGCGGCCCGGUAAGUCCGCUGUGAAAGUCGGGGGCUCAACCCUCGGAAGCCGGUGGAUACUGUCGGGCUCGAGUACGGAAGAGGCGAGUGGAAUUCCUGGUGUAGCGGUGAAAUGCGCGGAUAUCAGGAGGAACACCGAUUGCGAAGGCAGCUCGCUGGGACGUUACUGACGCUGAGACGCGAAAGCGUGGGGAGCAAACAGG